rnacentral:rRNA from 1 species
GGUGAUUCAUAAUAACUCUGCGAAUCGCACAGCCUUGAGCUGGCGAUGGUUCAUUCAAAUUUCUGCCCUAUCAACUUUCGACGGCUGGGUCUUGGCCAGCCAUGGUGACAACGGGUAACGGAGGGUUAGGGCUCGACCCCGGAGAAGGAGCCUGAGAAACGGCUACUACAUCCAAGGAAGGCAGCAGGCGCGCAAAUUACCCAAUCCCGACUCGGGGAGGUAGUGACAAUAAAUACUGAUACAGGGCUCUUUUGGGUCUUGUAAUUGGAAUGAGUACAAAUUUAAAUCCCUUAACGAGGAACAAUUGGAGGGCAAG